CCUGUGAGUGAUGAUGAUUUAAUUGUUCAUAUUAUUACUCAACUUGGUAAUGAUUAUGGUCCAAUUGUUGCUGCUAUCAAAGUUAGGGAAACUGCAAUUUCUUUUUCUGAUUUAUUUGAGAAACUCACU